CAAUAGCGUAUAUUAAAGUUGUUGCAGUUAAAAAGCUCGUAGUUGGAUUUCUGGUGGGAGCGAUCGGUCUGGCGCUUAGCGCGAGUACUUGCAUCGUCUCCGGCCAUCCUUGGGGAGAGUCUGUCUGGCAUUAGGUUGUCGGGCAGAGGAUCCUCAUCGUUUACUGUGAAAAAAUUAGAGUGUUCAAAGCAGGCUUAUGCCGUUGAAUAUAUCAGCAUGGAAUAAUAAGAUAGGACUUUGGUACUAUUUUGUUGGUUUGCGCACCAAAGUAAUGAUUAAUAGGGACAGUUGGGGGUAUUCGUAUUCCGUUGUCAGAGGUGAAAUUCUUGGAUUUACGGAAGACGAGCUACUGCGAAAGCAUUUACCAAGGAUGUUUUCAUUAA
rnacentral:rRNA from 1 species